GGGGGGUGGAGCAGAUAAAAGUGCAGAGAGAUAGGUUGAUAGAUAUGCAUUGCAUGGUUGUGAUUCCAUGGCUGCAUUAUUGCGUCCAUCAACCCAAUUAAGAUGAGAUUUCACGUCGCCCUUUGGAUGAAACUGUGACCACCUAGAGAACCUUGAGAAAAGGAGGAGGAGAAGAAGAGGACAUGUGUGCUUGAGCUCCUCCUCCUCCUCCUCCUCCUCCUUACAGGAGUAAUUUGAAGCACCUUGACUUGUGGGCACACCCUUCUUCUUCUUCUUCUUCUUCUCCUUUUUUUCCCUUUCCCUAUCCAUCUAACCCAAAGCUGAGUCUGCCCUAAACAUACGUGCCCCUCUGCCCUACCAUCAUCCCCCGAAGCCUUUUCUGGUCUCCUUUGUUCUGCUCCACAGUUGGUAUGAUAUGGCCAAAGCAAAAGGUGGGGGGGGGGGAUUGGGAGGGGGGCACCAUGUUCUGACCAAAGGCGCAGGAAAAGAUGGAGUCAGGUUCCCAACAUGCACAAACCCAAAGCAAGCUUCAUCUUCCGUGCAUGCCACCACCUGCACCAUGCUGCCGGGCGAGGUUUGGUCUCCCACCUUCAUCAUUAUUUCGUGUGCAGGAAACAUGCUUUGCUUGCGCGCUUGUGUUCAUGACAUGGGCCUCCUUCCGACCAGCUUUGCUUGGAAUCCAUGCCCUCUUCCCUCUGACCCUUCGGCAAGUAGUGUGAAGUCUCACCCACGCUAUCAAAGACCUGCAGACCUAUCCAAACCUAACGAUUACAUCAAAUGCCAGUCCCUUCCUGUUGCAUUCAUGAUCAUAGUCAUCCAAUUCAAUAAAUGGUUGUGGGGGAGGGAAAGAUAGAUCGAGAGAGAGAGAGAGAGAGAGAGAGAGAGAGAGAGAGAGAGAGAGAGGCACAGGACUGGAUCGGGAACGUGGAGGGCUCCCCGCAGCUGCAUGGUACGGAGGGCAAACCACAGGCCCACAUGUUCCCGAAUCUCCAUCAUGAGCUGCCAUUCACAGUGAUCUGCUGCAGACCUGAACGUAGACAUGUGUGCACAGCUUAGAUCUCUGUCUAAUCUCCUACACUACUAAGACAAAAUAGUCAGGAAGGCAGAGUCAUCACUCUCCAUAAAUCCACUUGGGUAUAGGUAUUUGUUAAUGGCCAGAAACACCAAUGGCGGUGCCAGUGACAACUGAUGUUGAUUCACCAACAACAUAGCUUCAGGCUACUGCACUCGAGACAAGUUUAGGGCUGGCAGAUCUAUAAACAUAUUAGGUCUUAUAUUUCUUCCUGAAUCUAAUGCUUAUCAUUAGUUGUUUUGCUAGAUAGAUAGAUAGAAGCAAACAAGCAGACUAUCUUACAGCAUCAGCUAAUCCCCAUUUAGCAUGCAAGCCAACUCCAGCAAUGAUGCACAUAUUAACAUGAAGCCAAUCUGAUGUGACCCAUUCCAAAUUCAAAGGUGGCUACUGCAAAAUCCAAAGAGGCAACUUGAUUUCAACAGAGCACUUUGUUGUGAAUUAUGCCAGAGAAAUGAGAAAACAGAUACAUGGAGGCUUCAAUCACUGAACAGUUAUGAUGAUGACCUUUCAUUUCUGUGGUGGAAGGGACUGUCAAGCAGUGAUCUUUGUCAGUGUUGACACAUCGAUGCAAGGAAUGCUUCUCAUACAUGAAGCUUCAGAAAGGACAACUGGUAUUUUCUUUCUUCUGGAUGCAGAUUUGUCCCUUGAGCCCAUAAACACCAUGAAUUGAAGGGCAGAUACCUCUUGUCUGGGCUGGAGGUGGAUCUAUCCAUCCAUUUGGAUUGAGCUUUGGGCCUACUACUCCAUGGGAAGAUUGUGGCUCCACCCCAAGAUUCACUUGGUGUUUGCAUCCAAGAACAGCUACAAUGAUGUGUCCCAGGCAUUGGAUCAACCUCAGAUGCUGUGAUGAGAAGAUUUGUGGGCUUGAGAUGGCUUCUUCCAAAGAAAAUAGCUACAGUACUUGGGACAAGUCAUUCUACCAUCACUGUAUUUCUAGAUUAUUAACACAAAAUCAUCUUUCUUGCAUUUCCUCACAUUUAUUGUCUGCAUCACAUUUUAGGAAUAAGAUUGUGGGUGUUCAGUGAACAUGGAAGCUGAGCCUCAGCCCUUGUCAGCUAGCAAUGAUCAAUCCUGUUGUUAUCAGCCUCAACUGAAACCUCAAGUUAGCAAUGUAAUCUUUUCAAAGCAUACAUCAUAUGUUCUUCAUGCAAGUUUGUGUUAUAUUCCUUUGAUGAUAUAACAACACAUUGCUACAAGCUUGCACAGCAACAAAAACAGAAAAAGACAUCUCUGAUGGUAAUUAUGGUCACUUCAAUAUCUGGUGGAAGGCCUGAAUCAGGUGCAGAAGAAUCAUUAUCUCUGGUCAGCAGACAAGGAUAGCUAAUUUGUCUUGGUUUUCCUCAAGCAAAAAUAAAAGCAAAUCUUGUUAGCCAAUAACAUUCGUCCACCAUCCUUUUGUUCAUCUCUGGAUUGUGGCCCUGCAGUUUAUAUUCCUUUUUCUUUUUCUGUUCUGUUUCUUCCAUCUUUUCUUUGGAUUAUUUUGCUGUCAUAUUUAUCUGAUUCCUUUCUUUCUGGGGUGCUCAGCUACAGGAAUUGAGCACCCAUCACAUUGCUCAGACAGAGUGUGCCAUAUCAUGUCCUGUUUUUGUGGAUGAACAAUGGGCAUCAGACAGCUCUGCUGCUGUGUUUGGGUAGACACAAUGUUGUGACAAGUGCUUCCCUGAGUCAAGAAGAGGGAGAUGUGACCUGGGAUUCUUUGGCAGGGAGAAAUCAUGGAUGACAGAGAGGGAGACAUUGCAAGGCCAGACAGGUGCAUGAAUAAUUAUUCCAAAGACAACAACAUGCUAUGUGAAAGAAACCUGAAGAUGGCACACAAAGUGCAUGGGAUGGUGGAUGAUGCAAUCAAAGGUAGGAUAAGUUCCAGGCCCUGCUUUUUGAUGUAGAGAAGCUUCAAAGAAACUUCCUCCAGUACACAAUUAUGCUUGAUUGGCAAGGGAUAUGUGAUUGCCAUCUCCUUUUUCUCAUCCAACAUAUGCAAAUCAUUCUCAUGUGAUGUUCACAAAA